UUGAAUGUGAUCAUCUUUCACCUUUCGUCUUCCAUGUGCUUGUAGUAACACGUUUUCUAAUAACCAUAAUGUAAUGUGAUCAUCUUUCACCUUUCGUCUUCCAUGUGCUUGUAGUAACACGUUUUCGUUCGAACUGAAAUACGAUUAUAUGAGGAAGUGCCCUUUUAGGCUAUGGGAUAUGGUGUGUCUUGUUCAAGGACGAGGAGGGAAAGUCUAGCACAACCCUUCUUUUGUUUGAUGACAAGUUGCAACAACUUUUUGAGAUCUUCAAGGAAGACAGUACCACCCCAGAGUUGGAUUUCAACUCCAUUGACGAUGAUAUGUUAAUAGAGGUUUUGCUAACAGUUAAUGCAAAUCUUUUUAUAACACCAAGAGAAAUGUUGUCUCAGUCUCAAGAAAAUAACGCUGCCAAGUAAACAUGAGUGACUAUAUAAUGGCAGUCAGUAGACCAAUUGACUGCAAACAUUAUAACAUUUCGUCCUAAUAUAGUUCUGUUCUGUUUUGUUUUGAUAUUAAUGAAACUGUUAUAACGCCAAGAGAUGUUUACAUCUGAAUUUCAACAAAAGAACGCAAAGAAUAGUUGAAGUGACUAUAUGAUGGCAGAGACGUAUAGACUGCAAAACUGUAACAUUUAGUUUUAAUAUAAUUUUGCUCUGUUUUGAUAUUAUUAAAGUGUUCAUUUUGUUCAUGA